GCCAUUCUGAAGAGAGUGCAAUGAAAGAGAGAGAGGGAGAACUGAGAGGGAGGACCGCGCUGUGAGCCAAUGAGCUCACCGGCUGCUCCGCCUGAGCCAGCAUUUCCUUCCAAAACCAGGCACAGCUUAGGAAAAUCACUAGUUUUUACCAUUACAUCUGAAUCUCUUUGUAACUUCUUUAGACUAUGGCCCGGGUCACCAUGGUAACACAACAAGCUGCAUCUGCCUGCUCUUCUAAUAAGAAGCACUUGACGCUUUAACCCUGAGGUUGUCAAACAUCUCUACAAGAUACUGCACGGUGUUUAGGAAAGGACCCCGUGAACUGAGGACGCUGCCUCCGAAAAUGAUUAGCCAGUACCGAGUACCGUUACUCCUCGUCAGAGGUCAGGCCAUCUGCUGCAGGAAACAGUGCAGAUGGUUCAGGGACUUGCAUCCAGAACUUCAAGAUGAAAUGGAACUCCAGCAAGAAGCAAAUGGGUCCGUGACAAACGAGGAACUUACCCAGACAUCCAGUAUACCCUGAAGUUUAACUUCAUAGUCAAUCUGGCAUAACUUAAACUGCUUCAGGUGAUAUGAAGUUGUCUUCUAUCCUUCAAACCUAAAAUCUGUCAUCAUCAUAUUUGACUACGUGAUUACAACUUGAUCCCAUUUUAAGGAGAAACUCCUUAAAGACCAUGUCAACACAG